rnacentral:rRNA from 1 species
UACGGAAGGGGCAAGCGUUGUUCGGAAUCAUUGGGCGUAAAGGGCGCGUAGGUGGUUCUGUAUGUCUACCGUGAAAGCGUACGGCUCAACCGUAUUUUGUCGGUAGAAACUGCAGGACUUGAGGCUGGGAGGGGCUGGUGGAAUUCCCUGUGUAGCGGUGAAAUGCGUAGAGAUGGGGGAGAACACUCGUGGCGAAGGCGGCUCUCUGGGACGGUACUGACGCUGAGACGCGAAAGCGUGGGGAGCGAACAGG